CCUACGGGAGGCAGCAGUGGGGAAUAUUGCACAAUGGGCGCAAGCCUGAUGCAGCCAUGCCGCGUGUGUGAAGAAGGCCUUCGGGUUGUAAACACUUUCAGCGGGGAGGAAGGCGGUGAGGUUAAUAACCUCAUCGAUUGACGUUACCCGCAGAAGAAGCACCGGCUAACUCCGUGCCAGCAGCCGCGGUAAUACGGAGGGUGCAAGCGUUAAUCGGAAUUACUGGGCGUAAAGCGCACGCAGGCGGUCUGUCAAGUCGGAUGUGAAAUCCCCGGGCUCAACCUGGGAACUGCAUUCGAAACUGGCAGGCUAGAGUCUUGUAGAGGGGGGUAGAAUUCCAGGUGUAGCGGUGAAAUGCGUAGAGAUCUGGAGGAAUACCGGUGGCGAAGGCGGCCCCCUGGACAAAGACUGACGCUCAGGUGCGAAAGCGUGGGGAGCAAACAGGAUGAGAUACCCGGGUAGUC
rnacentral:rRNA from 1 species